rnacentral:rRNA from 1 species
GACGAACGCCGGCGGCGUGCCUAAUACAUGCAAGUCGAGCGCAGGAAGCCGUCUGAACCCUUCGGGGGGACGACGGUGGAAUGAGCGGCGGACGGGUGAGUAACACGUAAAGAACCUGCCCAUAGGUCUGGGAUAACCACGAGAAAUCGGGGCUAAUACCGGAUGUGUCAUCGGACCGCAUGGUCCGCUGAUGAAAGGCGCUCCGGCGUCGCCCAUGGAUGGCUUUGCGGUGCAUUAGCUAGUUGGUGGGGUAACGGCCCACCAAGGCGACGAUGCAUAGGCGACCUGAGAGGGUGAUCGGCCACACUGGGACUGAGACACGGCCCAGACUCCUACGGGAGGCAGCAGUAGGGAAUCUUCCACAAUGGACGAAAGUCUGAUGGAGCAACGCCGCGUGAACGAUGAAGGCUUUCGGGUCGUAAAGUUCUGUUGUAAGGGAAGAACAAGUGCCGCAGGCAAUGGCGGCACCUUGACGGUACCUUGCGAGAAAGCCACGGCUAACUACGUGCCAGCAGCCGCGGUAA